AUUGAACGCUGGCGGCAGGCCUAACACAUGCAAGUCGAACGGUAACAGGAAGCAGCUUGCCGCUUUGCUGACGAGUGGCGGACGGGUGAGUAAUGUCUGGGAAACUGCCCGAUGGAGGGGGAUAACUACUGGAAACGGUAGCUAAUACCGCAUAACGUCGCAAGACCAAAGAGGGGGACCUUAGGGCCUCUUGCCAUCGGAUGUGCCCAGAUGGGAUUAGCUAGUAGGUGGGGUAACGGCUCACCUAGGCGACGAUCCCUAGCUGGUCUGAGAGGAUGACCAGCCACACUGGAACUGAGACACGGUCCAGACUCCUACGGGAGGCAGCAGUGGGGAAUAUUGCACAAUGGGCGCAAGCCUGAUGCAGCCAUGCCGCGUGUAUGAAGAAGGCCUUCGGGUUGUAAAGUACUUUCAGCGGGGAGGAAGGGAGUAAAGUUAAUACCUUUGCUCAUUGACGUUACCCGCAGAAGAAGCACCGGCUAACUCCGUG
rnacentral:rRNA from 1 species